rnacentral:pre_miRNA from 1 species
AUUGUACUCCCUCCUUUCAGAAUUACUUGUCGAAGAAAUGAAUGUAUCUAGAUGUAUUUUAGUUGUAGAUACAUCCAUUUUUGUGACAAGUAAUUCUGAACGGAGGGAGUAAUUU